GCAUCAUCAAAGCUUGCUUUGAUGGAUGGCGACCGGCGCACGGGUGAGUAACACGUAUCCAACCUGCCGACAACACUGGGAUAGCCUCUCGAAAGAAAGAUUAAUACCGGAUGGCAUAGUUUUCCCGCAUGGGAUAAUUAUUAAAGAAUUUCGGUUGUCGAUGGGGAUGCGUUCCAUUAGGCAGUUGGCGGGGUAACGGCCCACCAAACCUACGAUGGAUAGGGGUUCUGAGAGGAAGGUCCCCCACAUUGGAACUGAGACACGGUCCAAACUCCUACGGGAGGCAGCAGUGAGGAAUAUUGGUCAAUGGACGAGAGUCUGAACCAGCCAAGUAGCGUGAAGGAUGACUGCCCUAUGGGUUGUAAACUUCUUUUAUACGGGAAUAAAGUUAGCCACGUGUGGCUUUUUGUAUGUACCGUAUGAAUAAGGAUCGGCUAACUCCGUGCCAGCAGCCGCGGUAAUACGGAGGAUCCGAGCGUUAUCCGGAUUUAUUGGGUUUAAAGGGAGCGUAGGCGGGUUGUUAAGUCAGUUGUGAAAGUUUGCGGCUCAACCGUAAAAUUGCAGUUGAUACUGGCGACCUUGAGUGCAACAGAGGUAGGCGGAAUUCGUGGUGUAGCGGUGAAAUGCUUAGAUAUCACGAAGAACUCCGAUUGCGAAG
rnacentral:rRNA from 1 species